AGCAAAAGAAACCAACAGGGAUUGCCCUAGUAACGGCGAGUGAAGCGGCAACAGCUCAAAUUUGAAAUCUGGCUCUUUCAGGGUCCGAGUUGUAAUUUGUAGAGGGUGCUUUGGAGUUGACUGUGGUCUAAGUUCCUUGGAACAGGACGUCGCAGAGGGUGAGAAUCCCGUAUGUGGCCGCCAGUCUUCGCCGUGUAAAGCCCCUUCGACGAGUCGAGUUGUUUGGGAAUGCAGCUCUAAAUGGGAGGUAAAUUUCUUCUAAAGCUAAAUAUUGGCCAGAGACCGAUAGCGCACAAGUAGAGUGAUCGAAAGAUGAAAAGCACUUUGGAAAGAGAGUCAAAAAGCACGUGAAAUUGUUGAAAGGGAAGCGCUUGCAGCCAGACUUGCCUGUAGUUGCUCAUCCGGGCUUUUGCCCGGUGCACUCUUCUACAGGCAGGCCAGCAUCAGUCCUGGCGGUUGGAUAAAUGCCUGCUAAAUGUACCUCUCUUCGGGGAGGACUUAUAGUUUCAGGCGGCAUACAACCAGCCGGGAUUGAGGUCCGCGCAUCUGCUAGGAUGCUGGCGUAAUGGCUGUAAGCGGC
rnacentral:rRNA from 1 species